CAUAAGUCCUAAUCUAAGAAAUUCCCAAUCUAAUUUCUAAUCACAAUAUGGACAUGGAUACAGUGAUUCUUGGGGGGUGCAGAUAUGAAGAAUGCAAUUGGGCCUACACCAAGAAGCCAAGUACCACCCAGAGCGAAGCUUCACGCUGGGAUCUGGUUUAUUUAAAACGAAGGAUAGGUCAAUACGGCGCCAUCGACGGCCAACACACACGGCGCUACCGUUUUCGCUUGGUCUUUGAUUCACCGUCCACAAUACUCCAAGCUCCGAACGCAAUGAUUUCAUGUGAGCCUCCGCAUAAUCUCUACCCUUCUCCUUCAAUCGACACGCGCGGAUCCGCCACUGAAACGACGAAUAUGGAUCGCGCUUCAUCCAUGCUAUAUCAUCGUCGCCACGAUGCCAACGAGCUUUAGAGACGCAUUCUGAUCGGAUUCCACCAUUAAGAACAUCAACGAAUGAGUUCGGUUCUUUCUUCUUCAUGAGCGGAUUCAAAAUCACACGAAGAAACGAGAAUGAAAGAUCGGAUUCGCGUUCAGCUUCACCAUCAAAUUCCAAUUAUGGAUCGUGUGCGAGGUAGAAGUGAUUGAAGGACGAGUUACAUACCGGAUUUGACGUGGGUUCCAUGUGUCGUUUCUUGACUCUCUAUUCUUCCGCUCUUUUUCUUCCUGAUUCUCCUCUUCUUCUCUAUUUCUUCUUCUUCUGCAACCUCUUUAGUCUGUAGGAACAAGACUCUGCGCGCGUGCGAAUGGUUGAGGAGAACCGAAACGUGGGACGUUUUAAGAUUGAAGGAUGGUUUUCUUCUGUUAAUUGUUAGCUUUGCAGAUUUUUCAUUGAACUUGGCUAAUGGAUUCACGUCGCAGUUUGCGUUUUGCUUGUUAUCUGCCGUUUCGGGCUGCUGCUUGCAGUUUUCUCUGAUGCUACGUUAUAUCGUCGUUUACCGUUUACGCCGGUUUUGCGUUGCAGCAUGGAAGUUGUUUGGCGCACAACACCUGGUAGCUUGGGCACCUGCAUUUGUGUAUAUUGCAGCUAAUGUGAACUGGUUUGCGUGUAGCUUUCAGUUCCAAUUGCUUUGGCUUAAAUGUUAAAUGGACAAUUGUUAGAAAGGAAUUAAAAUUUGCUUAGUGGACA